rnacentral:rRNA from 1 species
GACGAACGCUGGCGGCGUGCUUAACACAUGCAAGUCGAACGGAGUGGCGAACGGGUGAGUAAAACGUGGGUGAUCUGCCUUGCACUUCGGGGUAAGCUUGGGAAACUGGGGCUUAUACCGGAUAGGGCAUGAUGGGCUCGCGGCCUAUCUACUUGUUGGUGGGGUACUGGCCCACCACGGCGUCGACGGGUAGACGGCCUGCGAGGGUGUACGGCCACAUUGGGACUGAGAGACGGCCCAGACGCGUACGGGAGGCAGCAGUGGGGAAUAUUGCACAAUGGGCGGAAGCCUGAUGCAGCGACGCCGCGUGGGGGAUGAAGGCCUUCGGGUUGUAAACUCCUUUCGACAGGGACGCGGUACCUGUAUAAGAAGCACCGGCUAACUACGUGCCAGCAGCCGCGGUAAUUC